rnacentral:rRNA from 1 species
GACGAACGCUGGCGGCGUGCCUAAUACAUGCAAGUAGAACGCUGAAGGAGGAGCUUGCUCUUCUGGAUGAGUUGCGAACGGGUGAGUAACGCGUAGGUAACCUGCCUGGUAGCGGGGGAUAACUAUUGGAAACGAUAGCUAAUACCGCAUAAUAGCAGUUGUUGCAUGACAGCUGUUUGAAAGGUGCAAUUGCACCACUACCAGAUGGACCUGCGUUGUAUUAGCUAGUUGGUGGGGUAACGGCUCACCAAGGCGACGAUACAUAGCCGACCUGAGAGGGUGAUCGGCCACACUGGGACUGAGACACGGCCCAGACUCCUACGGGAGGCAGCAGUAGGGAAUCUUCGGCAAUGGACGGAAGUCUGACCGAGCAACGCCGCGUGAGUGAAGAAGGUUUUCGGAUCGUAAAGCUCUGUUGUAAGAGAAGAACGAGUGUGAGAGUGGAAAGUUCACACUGUGACGGUAUCUACCA